rfam:Porphyromonas sp. COT-239_OH1446 contig_20, whole genome shotgun sequence.
UACCUUUGCCUCGUCAUCGGUGAUCAGUCGGUAGUCAAUCGAUUGGCUUAAAAGGGAACUUCGGUGUAAGACCGAGACUGUGCCCCCAGCUGUAACUCCACUAGACACAAUAGUUUCGCAUCCUUAUGCCACUGCUUAGGCUUACUACAGACAAGCGGGAAGGCGCAAAACUAGGAGAAGUCAGAAGACCUGCCCAUGACAAGCGAUGCCU